CGCACCUCGCAGAGGCCGGCCCAGGUGCAGCGGGAGCACACCGGCCUGCGGGGCAGACGCGGGGCGGGCGUUGGGCCCAGAGCCGCAGCAGGAGCGGGAGGGGCGCGCGCCGCGCGGCCGGCGCCGUGCCCGGACCUGAGUCGCGCGACUCCACACGCGGCCGACCCCGCGGCGGCGCGGGCCGAGGAGCGCGGCCGGGAUGUCGGCGGGCGGCCGCCACGAGGAGCAGCGGAAGCUGGCCGACAUCAUCCACCACUGGAAUGCCAACCGGCCGGACCUGUUCGAGACCAGCCAGCCCAUCGAGGUUCAGGGUCCACCUUCAGAUGAUGAGUGCGCACAAGCCACAGCCUUGAUCCCUGAUUCCCCAGAAGGGAAGGUGUGGACCGGCCCUCAGCGCCUCUGUGCACCCCACCCACACACCCUCAGUGCUAGGAGUGCAUCUUCUUUCUGCUGCUUCUGAGUGGGAGAAAGGUGGAGUGAGGGGGACGCUGAGCUACAGGGACCCUGGCCCACCACAACCCCGGCUUCAUCAGAACAGACGGGGCUGCUGGGGCAGGUGUCACCUAGUCCCCACCAAGAACUCUGGGUGGGGAAGGUUUCCUCCACCUCUGCUCUCAGGCAAGCACUGCCCAGGGCACUGAUGGGAACUUGUCAGACACUUUCUGGAGCCUGAGGGGAAUUUCAGCUUCUGUAAACUUCUCUCUCACAGCUGCGCAAGUUCAAGGACACAGACAGAAGCCACCACCUCUCAUGAGAAAAAAGCAUGUAUUUUGGGAAAUGAUGGAAGUUGAGGUAGGAAGAAUCCAUCAGCAACUAGAGGAUGUACUGACAUGAGAAAAAACAGUUUCUCUCUGCACUGUAUGGAUCUUUUCUUGAAGAAAACUUGUCCUACCAGGAAACAUGUGUGAAUCAUGCUCUAGCUGAAUAGGUGACACAUAUUUCUGAAUCACUUGCAGCCUCGGGAGGUAGUGGGUACAGGCUGAGGCACCUGCCGCCUUUGGCCCAUGCUGGCUGGGCACCCCACCUCACGGGGUGGGAAGGCCUCAUUGCUAUCUCGGUGUCUGGCCCACUUGCUCUUGCCAGGACUGCUGUGGCCCUUUAGGGUGGCUUGGUGAUUGCAGGCUUUAUCUCCUAUCACUCUCCCUUGCUCUUCAUAGGAGAAAAGAUUGUGAUACCAUGUUUGCCUGCUGGAGCCUGGAAUUUCCCUUUCUGCCAGUUUAACUCCAAGGGAGGAUGUCCAUGUGGAACCGUGGUUUUCUCCUCUAGGAUCUGUCCCACAGCUGUCACGAUCCCAAGCCUUGGCGGCCCUGCCAUCUGGAACAGAUCUGCUAAUCCCUUGUCCCUGACUCUGGACAGUGACUGACGGAGGCCUGUCUUUUUGCUGGGAAACUUGACUGGAGAGAAUCCCCUGCAGGAAGUGCUUUAUCGAUUUUGUAACGUGGCUUUCUGGAGGAGCCUGUUCCUCCUUCAGUCCAAGCUGGCAGGACUUGCUUCUUAAGGACUGUGCUGAUUCCUUAUCCUUAUUCUUUAACAUCCCAUUGUGUUGGGAGGCCCUCAGUUCUGCCGAUCCUUUUUCAAGCUGUACUUGGUCAGACCUCCCACAGUCCUUUACAUCACCAACGGGGGCAAACAUUUUGCUUUGGCUCUUACCCUGCUCCUCCAGCCUCAAGGACCCCUGGCUGCUCUGAUCUGAAGCCCAUCUAUGCAACAUGAUGUCGUCUGACAUGGGUGAAGCUGACGUGUCCCCACUGGACGUGCUCUGGGAGCUGCACAGAGAUCUCUCAGAAGCCGAGCUGUCUGCAGCAAGAAACGCACGGGAGUGGCAGUGCUGAAGGAGCAUAUGAGCAUCGCGGUCCUGAGGAGGCUCACCAGGGCCGCUGUCCUGAGGCUGCUUCCCGGACUCUACCUUCUCGUGGAGCUCAGAGUCACUGUGGUGUGCAUCAAGGCGUGGCUCUUCCAGAUCUUGAAUCACGUGCUUUACACCAGGCAGUCUUGGGAUUUCACUUGUCUCUGGAGUCCCUGAUCUACUCAGAUCCACAUUGUUAAUUUGGGAGUGGGCUGGCACACAGGAUUCCAAGGUGAUUUUCCAAGCAGAGGCCUCCUCAGCCGCCACCGACCCCCCAUCCUCUUCAGCACUUGAAGACCCAGAGCUGCGCUCCAGUGCUGUUGCCCUGUGGUGGGGGUGUCGCGUGGCCCGGCCUCUGCUCUCCCCCCCUGGCUCACUCCUGGCUGUGGCUACACCGGGGCUCAGCUCCAGGCUGGCUCUGUGGGCCCUCAUGGCCAUCUUGCUGUGCCACAUUCUGCCUACAGACAUGCACGUGGAGGUCUGAGCAGGUGACCUGCUCUCCUGUGUGGUCAGAGGGGCCUCUGAGGACAUGUGGCCAUCACCAGGUGGAGUCUCUCCCUGGGCCUUGUGGAUUUCCUCACACAUAGGGGAGGGGACAGGGAGGGGACUCACUGGGCUGGGAAUUGACUCUUUCCUUAUUGCUGCCUCUCCCAGUGGGGACUGAGGAUUUUCCAAGAGCUGGGAAAACGUGGCUUUUGAGUGGGCCCCAGGAACACAGGUAGCUGAGCAGGUACAGGGAGAGCAGAGAAAGGGCGAGGGUUGAGGGUUUUUCAACUUAAAGGAGUUUAUGACCUUAAGGAUCUUGAGGGGUAGGCACCACCUGCACCUCUCCAGAAGCCUUGUAACGUGUGCUUCCAGAUUCUUUUGUAUAGGUGGCUUGAAGAUGGUGAACCCAUGGGAGGUGCUCGUGUCGGGUCCCUGUCCCUUGGAGGGUGCUGGGUUCUUCCUGGCUCCCCUGUGAGUGAGUGAUUCUACAGGAAGGUCCAAGGCCUGGUUGACAGCAAACAUGGAGGGAUGAACACCCCCAGGAGUCGGACACUCACUGUUCUUCCCCAGCUUCCUGCCCGAAUGGGCACUCAGGAUCUUUUCUGGAAACAUCUUGCCCGGGCCCCAUGUGGAGGACCUCAUCAGGCCCCUUUCUGGUUCUGCAGAGUUAGCUCUUGGAACCCUCACUGGGGAGCUGGCUGAGCCCCCGUACACCUCUCCCUGUUUGUCUGUGGGGUGUCCCCAGAAUGAGACCUCUGGUGCGUGGUGGGACAGGUGGUCUUGGUGGGAUGUGCACUGUGAGGAGGUCGAGAGGCUCCAGGCUUUGGCAUCUGCCUGACGCCUGGAAGGGGCUGGAGUGGGAGAGUUUGCACGACCAACGCCUGAGAUGAUUCGGGUGGGAGGAGCCAGCCGGUGGGCAUGUGGGGACAAGCUCCGUGGGAUGGUUCCUAGUCGGAGUGCCAUUGAGUCAAACAGUAUGAGUUGGGGUGGAGUUUGGUGGUGGGACAGAGCAGGCUAUUGGAGGUUGAGGGCAGGGCUCUGAAUCCAUAGGAUUCGGUGGGGAAGGGGAAGGAGUAGGUAGGAAAGGCUCUGGUGGCUGAGAGUCACUCCGGGAUGAGUAUGAAUGAAUAGAACCUGAGGAAGUUAUCACGCCUGAUGAGGUGGUGGAGGCCCGAGGUGGAGAGCGUGUGGCCGGAGGAGCCAAGGAAGCCGAAGGGCACAUGGCAGGAGCAGUACUUCCCACAGGCUUCCCACACGGCCAGUGGGCUCCCGCAGGCUCUGCUUCGUGCCCCUCGCUGGGGUAGUCUUGAAAUAAGUUCUGAGAGUCACCCUUGUCAGGGAGCCUCCUCAUGUGGCUGCAGAAGACAGGAGUCAAGAGCUGCAGCCAGGGCCAGGGGGGCCGAGCAGGCCAGGCAGGGCUGGGUGCCUGAAGCCCACAGCCCUCCAGGUCCCCAUGCUGACUGCACAGUGUUCCUGCUGUCCCUCAGGUCUGCAGUCACACCUGUCCCCACAUCUGCCCCACCAGGUCAGUCCCAGGCUGCCUGCAGCCCUGGAGUCCCGUCAUAAGGCUCUGGGAGGAAGGAGGACCCCGAGGAGAAGGAAGAUUCUUUACCUUCUCAGAAGAAGUAACAGGUGCUUCAUCUCUUCUAGGUCACGAAGGGAUUCUUUGCAAACUGGAAAGCAGAAGACAGGGUCAUGGUGGUGAAGGCAGGGACCUAGGGGUCUUAUAGGAGACUGAGUGCCAUGUCCCUUUAGGGGAGACACUGGGGAGAUUAUAGUCUGGAGCCCAAGCCUCAGUGUCCGAGGCCACAGGAUCCCUGAGGGCAAUGGGAAUACUCACAACAGGGAGUGCUUUGUCAUUUGCAAAGUGCUUCUACAUCCAUUACCCCCUGCAGCCCUCACAGCCACCCUGUGGCGGGGACAAGGCAAGGGCCACCUCACAGAGGCACCUGAGGGAAUCACCUUGUGCACACGUGGACCUGGAGUUCCUCCUCCCAAUCCGGGCACUCUGGGUCUGCUCCAGCCCACCGUCCCUGCCAGGCAACACCCGCCUCCUGGCCCUUGCAGCUUUGUUCCAGCACAGACCCUUGGGAAUGUCUGGGUUCUGAUCAUCUACCCAAGAUCCCCCUGAGACAAGGACCAUGGGUUUAGACAGAGUAGGGUGAGGGUCUCUGGAAAAAAAAUGCUACCAAAACUUCACCAAUUAAGUAAAGCCAGAGUCACAUUAAUUCUCUAAAGUAGAAAUAUCAAACUAGGAAUAUAAGCAUUCUUCAGUGAGAUUAGUUAAAACUAAAAAGCCAGGAGCAACUUGGCCUGGAAGUUUGAAUACUCCCCAGAUAAAGAAAAGUAUCUCAACAUAGCCUAUAAUUUCACUGCAUCAAUUAAAACAUACCAUUGUAAGAUUUACUGUAGCCUGCUCAAAGGCCCAGCUUAUUUUUUAAAAUUCUAUUUUGAAGGUAAAAUCACAUUUUCAUCAAUCAAACAAUAACUCAGCCCAUCUUGGAAGCAAGGCAGGCAGUCUUAAUUGAUAUGCUCCCAGAUCAAAAAGCGGCUAUCCUGAGAACGAAUCAGAGCAGGAAAUUUCUUGUAUUAAGCCAACUUUGAAGAAUAACCCACUGAUAAGAAAGUUAGUAUCUCUUUAAAAAUAAACAUUUUGGGACUGUCUGGCAGGUGUGCAUCCCCUAGCCCUUUGUCUUUCAACCACCUGUAAAUCCCCAGACA